UACGUAGGGGGCAAGCGUUGUCCGGAUUUAUUGGGCGUAAAGAGCGUGUAGGCGGCCAGGUAGGUCCGCUGUGAAAACUCGAGGCUCAACUUCGAGCUGUCGGUGGAAACUAUCUGGCUAGAGUCCGGAAGAGGAGAAUGGAAUUCCUGGUGUAGCGGUGAAAUGCGCAGAUAUCAGGAAGAACACCCGUGGCGAAGGCGGUUCUCUGGGACGGUACUGACGCUGAGACGCGAAAGCGUGGGGAGCGAACAGG
rnacentral:rRNA from 1 species